rnacentral:rRNA from 2 species
AACAACUCACCUGCCGAAUGAAUUAGCCCUGAAAAUGGAUGGCGCUGAAGCGGGCGGCCGACACCGCGCCGUUCGAGCAAAUUGAUGUUUCGGAUGAGUAGGAGGGCGUGGCGGCCGUGUCGAAGCGCGCGUGCAGACGCGUGUGGAACGGCCGCUAGUGCAGAUCUUGGUGGUAGUAGCAAAUAUUCAAGCGAGAUCCUUGAAGGGCGAAGCGGGGAAGGGUUCCACGCGAACAUUGAUUGGGCGUGGGUGAGUCGUUCCUAAGCCGAGUGGCGAUUGCUAAGUAGCGGCGAAAGGGAAGCGGGUUGACAUUCCCGCACACGGAUGUGGAGGCGGCGACGCAUUACUUUGUUGGGGCAAACACGCUGGCGACGGCGCUGGGCAGAGUUGUCUUUUCUGUUUGACCGUUUGCGCGCGCUGUGUGGAAUCCGCUUGUCGGGAGAAACACGCGCGCGCGGGCAGAGCGCCGGGGCUUUUCCGGCGUCCAGCUCGCCGUCGACGGCCCUUGAAACUUUGCCUGCUGAUUUAGAUCCACGCCGUGGCGUACCGAUCACCGCAUCAGGUCCCCGAGGUGAACAGCCUCUGCUCAAUAUGAACAAU